rnacentral:rRNA from 1 species
AACGAACGCUUGCGGCGCGCCUAAUACAUGCAAGUCGGACGAGAAAGUUUCUUCGGAAGCGAGUACAGUGGCGGACGGGUGAGGAAUACGUAGAUAAUCUGCCUUAAAGUGGGGGAUAACUACUCGAAAGAGUAGCUAAUACCGCAUAAGACCACAGGAACCGAGGUUCUAGGGGUUAAAGGUUUUUCGCUUUAAGAUGAGUCUGCGUCCGAUUAGCUAGUUGGUAAGGUAACGGCUUACCAGGGCGACGAUCGGUACCUGGUCUGAGAGGAUGAUCAGGCACACUGGAACUGAGACACGGUCCAGACUCCUACGGGAGGCAGCAGUAGGGAAUAUUGCACAAUGGAGGAAACUCUGAUGCAGCGACGCCGCGUGAGUGAUGAAGGCCUUCGGGUUGUAAAACUCUGUGAUAAGGGAAGAUAAUGACGGUACCUUAUCAGAAAGGACCGGCUAACUUCGUGCCAGCCGCCGCCGUAA